GAGGUUCCAUUAUUUCCAAGAACAUUCAAGUAAAAAGUCCCCAAGCCACAGCCAAGUCCUGAUCUAGUGUAGAUAACCCCAGCAGUGAACCCUGUACCCUCAAACACAAAGCAAGGCUCCGAAGAACCAGCUUCAUCUUUCACAAAAAAAAAAAUUUUUGGUAUUAAAAGGAAGCAUUUUACUAUAUAAUAGGAGUUAAAGCUUCUGAAAAUCUUUAUCAAAAAAGAAAGAGAACACCACCACCACCACCAUCCUGGGCACAAUGAGAAAGCUUUACAAUCAAAAGCACCUUUUCCUUUUCCAUCUUUCACAAAAUUUAACAGAAGUUUCUACGCUAAGUGAAUGCCAACAUGAAGCCUGGAGAGUUGACCUCUCCCUCCCCUCCCAAUAAGGCAGGGACGUGGUUAAAAUAAUCUGCACAUGUUUUGACACCUCCCCUCCCCUGCCUAGAUGUUUCCAUGAAACCAGAGGGGCGGCCAGCAUUUUAGAAAGCCUUGCUCUCUGGAAACUUUCCCAGGCUGAAGAGGCCCCUGGAAACCUGCUCCCUCCCACAGGGCCCCUCCAGCAAGAAAGGGCAUCUAAAAGGGGUGUCAGGCCUCUCUCUGGGCUGCUUGCUCCAGAACUGAAUACCCCGUAAGAGCAGAAGAUUUGGUUUUGACACGCUUCUAAUGGUUGUCCUUCCAGCUAGUCAGGGUUUUAAGUGUUUCCCAAGUAUUUAUUUUUUAAAAUGAUGCCCUGUACCUUCAAGAACUGAAUUUCACUUUUGCAUUUUCCACUUUCGUCUCCCAGUACUAACUCCCCGGAACAGUGCCAAGGCGAGUGGCGAGGCUGUGCCUGGGUACUGGGCGCUGCACUGUGCUCUCAAAGGGGGGAAUGCCUUCCCCAUGGCCCACACCUCUAGAGCUUGGGAGAGUACAGCCUUCAGGUAAAAUGAUUUACUUUCAGGUAAAAUGAUUUACUUCAAGGCAGCAAGCUCUACGUUCUACUCAGUGGGAUUUUCAAGCGGCCCUGUCGCCAGAGCCUUAAAACAGUAGAUACCGGAGUUCCCGUCGUGGCGCAUGCUUAACGAAUCCAACUAGGAACCAUGAGGUUGCGGUUCGGUCCCUGGCCUUGCUCAGUGGGUUAAGGAUCCGGCAUUGCUGUGAGCUGUGGUGUAGGUUGCAGACGCAGCUCGGAUCCCACGUUGCCAUGGCUCUGGCACAGGCUGGUGGCUACAGCUCCGAUUAGAACCCUAGGCUGGGAACCUCCAUGUGCCAUGGGAGUGGCCCUAGAAUGGCAAAAAGACACACACACACACACACACACACACACACACACAAAACAGUAUUUGAAUUGGGCCUUAAAGAAACAGUAAGAUUUGGAUGCCGAUCAAAACUACUAUGAGAUAUCACCUUACACCAGCGAGAAUGGCCAUCAUCAAAAAGUCUACAAAUAAUAAAUGCUGGUGAGGGUACGGAGAAAAGGGAAGGAACCCUCUUACGCUGUUGGGGAGAAUGAAAAUUAGUGCAACCACUAUGGAAAAGAGAAUGGAGGUUCCUCAAAAAACUAAAAAUAAAACUACCAUGUGGUCCAGCAAUUCCUCUCCUGGGCAUCUCUCUGGAGAAAACCAUAAUUCAAAAAGAUAUGUGUACCCCCAGUGUUCAUUGCAGCACGACUCACAAUAGCCAAGACAUGGAAGAAACCUAAACGUUGACAGAGGAGUGAAUAAAGAAGAUGUGGUACAACAUAAAUACAAUGGAAUAUUUCUC
rnacentral:lncRNA from 1 species